UUUAAAUAAGAUCUCAUCUCUGAGUUAGAGUAAACUGUCAAGACUUAAAACUUACUUACUUUACCUUCACCAUGGGACUUGUAACUGUCACUUCUGUCUUGAGUAGUUAAAAGAUAGAACAGUCUAGCCAAGUGCCAUGUCUCUUAUUCUUGAUCAGCUAUAGCUCUGGGGUUUUUGCAGAUUUUCAAAUAAAACUCAGAGAUUCCUUGUAUGAUUCUCUCAGGUCUCUCUUUUGUGGUAUUUCUGGAUCCUUACCAAGGCAGUGAUGGUAUAUGCCUUCUCUCAAGAUAUGUGGUAUUUGUGGUAUGAGGCAUAGUGACAUUGCCUUUUCUCUCACCCUACUCUAAUAAGGCUUUAAUAUCUGGAGCUCAUAGGUGGGAGAUAAAGUAUACAUACUUACAAGACAUUUAUUGCAUAGUCAAACCAUGGAUCCAAAGUAACAAAUCAAUAAGCCAAAUCAAGAUGUGCAUGUGUGGCGAAUGAAUGGUAUAUGGUGAUGAUGGUGAUAACAAUGGUGAAAACAAUGGUGGUGGAAGUCUAAUUCUUUUGCUCUUUAAGGGGAUACAUACCUUCCUUGCUUUUGAAACUUUAUGAGGAGAAUGAGAUGCUCUUCUUUUUCUUGUCUCUCAGGUGGGUAUCUUGCACCCCUAAUUCUACUGUCGGACACUUAUCCAUUUUUACCUCUCGUCUCACUUUUUCUUUUCUUUCGAGGUUCCGAGCACUUGCUCCUUUUUAUUUCCUCAUAUUUUUUUCUCUCUCUUCUUCUUCUUCUUUUUUUAGAGCACUCAUCUCUUGAGAUAAUAUAGCAAGUGGUAGUAACAAGAUAACUUGAGCAUUUACUUCACAAGGGAAAAACAGAAAUAUUUUUGGUUAUUCUCUCCCGGAUUAGGAGUAGAAUAUUUUCAGGUGGUUCUGGAGAUGGAAUGGAUGGAUAUAUGUGGAUGGUACUUCCGGAGUAGAAGUAGCAUAUAUGAGUGAACGUGCAAGUGAAAUCUUGAUUUAACCACAUGACAAGCUCCUAAGGGUCUACACAGCUUGACCACACUCAAUGCUCAUAAGCAGUAAAUAAUAAAUGUGUGGCUCAAAGUCUAGCAAGCAUGUAUAUAUGGCUGUGGUAGGAAUUUAAACUCUCAUCAUACAGGAACUCAUCAUGCAACAUUUUAAAGAUUUUCAAAGAUAAAAUUCUCCAGAAUUCUAGCAUCUCUAGGAACAGAUAAACAGCAGCUCAACCUUCCCAUAUCGUAUCCGUUAACAACUUAGACUUCAGAUCAAGUUUUCAUCCCACAAGUUUAGGUCUAGAGCAAGCUUUAAAUUAUAACAGUUAUGUCUAAACUUGAGAGAGAACUUAAAAUGUGCAAAUUAGGCAAAGCAACUAUUCAUCAUAUCCAUGCUUAAGUUUUAUUUAGAUACAGAUUAGCAUAGCCACUUUAUUUAUUUAUUAAACACACUAAGCAAAAGAUAUAUAUAAGCUUAAAAUAUUUAUUUGGUUUUCCCAUAGUUUAUGUGUAUUAAUAUUCUAAAAUAAUAUAAGUAUAAAGAUAGAUAGAAAUACUUAUCGAGAUAAAUGGGGUUGCUCUCCCCCAAGCUGAAUUUUGACGUAAUUUCUCUUGAUGUAGCUAGCAGGCGGCAGAGGUGUAGUUGAAAGUCAGCAGCAUUCUGACAGCGAUUAGAAUGUCCUCCUUCUGCUAGUCUUCUUAAAUUCUGUGGAGCUCAAAUAGACAACAAAGCUUGUGGAACUAAUUAAGCGUUAGCAUAAAUAUAUAGCCUUCAUCAUCUUGAGACUCCUUAAUAAUUAUUACUCCCUGUUUUUAUAUUUUUAUUUUAUAAAGCAGAAAAAUAUUUAUUUUAUUUUUAUGCCACCACAGUGAAUGUACGUAUGGGUUUUAUGCCACUCGUCUACUCACAUGGGGCUUACUAUUUUCACAUUUUUAUUUUCUCUUUUUAAGAUAGUAUGAAUAUGAUUAACUAAGUAAAAUAAUUGAAAUAACUGAAAGGUAAAGGAUAACUAUCCAAGUUUACCUCUUGGCAAGGCGUUCGGUGUUUUUAAGUCCUCCGAACGGGACUCUCCAAUUUCUUAAUUGUCCUGAGGUUCGUUGGGUGGCGUAGUCGGUACUUCCGGCAGCGUCUCCUCUUCUUGUAUAGUUAUCUUCAUUUUCCAUACCUGACUCGGUGCUUCAAUCUCCUCUGGAUAAUUCUGUUUAAACUCUACAUCUUCUGACCUUACAACUUCUCCUUCAUAGUCUGCCCAUCCGUCCUUGAUGAUCUGCCUUCUCUGGUUGCGGUUGCGUCUCUUUCUGACCUGCUUAGAUUCUUCAACGAUAUAGUUAGAGUCAGUAAAAUAACGGCGUACCUUCUCUGAGGGGAAGUGCAUAUGGACUUCUCCGGUUCCAAUGUAGAUAAUCGCUUUAACGGUGCUGAGGAAUGGUCUUCCAAGGAUGACGGGUGGAUCAUACUCGUCUUCUCCCAUGUCAACAACUUGAAAGUCUGUGUAGACAAAGUGAUCGUCUAUUUUGACUGGGACAUCAGAUACUAUUCCUUGAACUUCUCGGAAUGUCUGAUCUGCCAUCUGGAGCUGAAUGUAUGUUGGUCUUAGUGGCAUGGUCCCGAACAAGAGCCGAUAGGUGACUGCGGCCAUUAUGUUGACGCCUGAUCCGGUGUCGCAAAUCGUCUUGUAGAAGUUGUAUCCAUUUAUGGAGCAGUAAAUGCUUGGCAUUCCUGGGUCGUCCUUCUUGGUCAAAAACGGUGACUUAAGUUGGUGAUCUUGGCCUCCAUGGACUACAGUGACCAUCUUCGCUGACUCGGUCCACACUUGCUUGUUCCUGUUUCUCCUGUUGGUCCUCUUCCUUGAUUCACGUCUGGAUUGAUUUGGAAUUUGUGUAGUCUUGUUCUUGAAGAAAAAUGUUUCCUUCUUCCCUUUGACGUAGAAACUGAUCUUGGCAGCACUAGCGUAGAUGAUAGCUCCCGUGGUGUUCAAAAAUGGCCUCCCUAGGAUGAUAGGUGCUCUCUCAUCAUUUCCGGUCUCUACCACUACGAAGUCUGCUGGGGCAUAUAAGGUACCAACUCGGACACAAAGGUUCCUCACUAUUCCUUUUGGAAAAGUUAUCGUCUGAUCUGCAAACUGCAAACACAUGGUUGUCUCUAAUAAAGGAUAUGUGAAGAAUUUUUCAUAGAGUACCCUGGGUAUAAUGUUGACGCUAGAGCCAAAGUCACAGAGUGCUUCUGGAACAUCCACCAUGCCGAUGGAGAUCGGGAUGACGGGGCGUCCGGGAUCGCCUCUCUUGACCGGCAUAAGGUUAGUAGAAAAUUCAGUGACAGGGUUACUCCAAUUACCUGCAUCAAACAUGUCUACAAGAUUUGCAGAUUCUAAUCCUUCCGGUUGUGAUGGUAUACCGGGGUUAGUAGUAGGAACAAUAGCAGCUAUUUGAUUUAACUGGGAUUCAAUCAUUUUAUUAAAGCUAAUUUGAUUCUUGAUGGCAGUAGAGAAAUUAUCCAUUCUAUUAUUUAUAUUUUCUAGCAUUUUAUCAUUAGAUGCCAAUUUCUUAGAUAGAUUAUCCAUUAGCUUUCCUUGAUUAGACACUAACUCUCUUAAAGGCGGAAAAUUGUUAUUGUUGUUGUAAGAAUUGUUACCUUGAUAAUUACCUGAGUAGUUAGGCCUCUGUUGAUUCCAACCUUGAUUUUGUUGAGGACGGUUGUAGUAGUUGUUGUUGUUGUUGAUGUAGUUCACAUCCUCAAGUAUCUCAGGGCAGUGGUUGCCUGAGUGUCCAGUGUCUCCACACUCCUCACAAGUCAUGUGAGAGUCGUAGAUGUGCAUAACUUCUUUCUUGUCUCCAGCUCUAUCAUCGAGCUUCUUCAUGAGCAGGUCUAGCUUUGCAGAUAGCAUGUCUACCUCCUUCAGCUGAUGCAUACCUCCACCUCUCUUGCGUGUCUGGGUCCUCUCUUCAUUCCAGCUUUGAUUGGACGCCAUCUUCUCCACAAGAGCUGUGGCUUGUGAUAAAGUAAGUGAUAAGAAUGCUCCUCCAGCUGCAGCAUCCAUAGUCUCUCGGGCACUGUUGCUGAGCCCAUGAUAGAAUGUCUGCAUCAAUAGCCAACUCUCCAUUCCAUGAUGGGGACAUUCUAGGAUGUAGUCUUGAAAGCGCUCCCAUGCUUCUGAAACAGAUUCAUCAUUUUGUUGCUGAAAACAUGUAAUCUUCCCACGGAGAGCAUUGGUCUUGCCCAUGGGAAAGAACUUAGCCAGGAAGUUUGUUGAGCAGAGUGCCCACGUAGUAUUCUUCUCCUUUGUAGCGUAGAACCACUGCUUCGCUCUUCCUAACAGUGAGAAUGGGAAGAGGCGAAGUAGUAUAGCGUCUUUGGAAACUCCUGCUAUGGUGAAUGUGUUGCAAAUCUCCAGGAAGUGUUGUAAAUGAGCACUAGCAUCUUCGUGUGCCUUCCCACAGAACUGGUUGGAUUGCACCAUGUUGAUAAGUCCAGGCUUGAGCUCAAAGUUGCCAUCGAUCUCUGCAGCAGGUCCAGUGCGGAUGUUGUCCGUAGUGGGAGCUGAGAACUCACGGAUCGAUUUGUUCGCCAUGGCUUCGAACUCUGAAGACAAGUUCCGGUGAUCUUCUUGAUUGGAUGAAGCUUCUUCGUGAAGUGUUGAUGAUUUCUUUAGCUUGGCUCUCAUCUUCUUGAAUAAUGCUUCGGGAUUGUCAACAAAAUUUCCUGGAAGAUGUCUUCUAUUCAUACAUUCCCCUGCAUAAGAUAAAAUAGAAAAAUAUCGGGGUAAAACUGUAUGAGAGAAUAGAUAAGCUCAAUCAUAUUAGUGAUGCGAAUGAUAACUCAAAAUCUUUUAUUCUAUUCCUGAUUAGUAAUCAACCUUCCCCGGCAACGGCGCCAAAAAUGCUUGUUGGGUAUUCUUAACAUCAUUACUAAAAGUAGACUAAGUUCUCUAAAUCUAGUAACGGUGCCAAAAAUGUCAAACCUAUCCCUCACACCACUUAAGCCAAGUUGUCAUCCCCAGCAUGAUAUGAGAGACGCGGUAUUGAAAUAUGCAAUUGCUCUUCUAAAUAAAUAAUGAAUGGGAUCUGCAAGCGCACAGAUUAAUACCGAUGCAGCAUUUUAACCGGGAAGUAUUCCAGGUAUCGUUAUUUAUAUUUUUACCACUGGGAAGGGAUUAGCAAUCAUCACUAUUGAUUACAGAAUAAAAUAUGAGAUUGAGCAUCUAUCAUUGCAUGUAUAAUUGAGAACAUUAUAUCUAACUCUUCAUACAGGGAUAAGUGUCACAUAAAAGAUAUAUGAAAUAAUAAUAGUGACAAGGAUAACUAAUCUGAUCUAGCCACAUUAUAAAUAUGAUAAGCACCUCAAUUAGAUACUCUAGAAAGUCAUUAGCAUGGUAUUAGAACGAACUACAAGAAUAUUCCCUAAGUUAUUCUCAACUAUAUAGUCUAGCAUUAUCAUAAUUAGUGCAAGCAUACUUAGCAAUCAUUGCGAGACAAGACUACGCCCAUGCAUAGUGAGAUUAGCAAGGAAUAUGAGAAACAUAGCAAUCACUCCCCUGUAAUAAUGUUGCUCUGCCAGCCCAAUACACGAGAGGGGGACUAUAUAAGAAUCAAUGAAGCUGUCACUAUCACGAACCACCCCACGAUCUGGCAUAUUGGGUACAAUCGCAGAUAAAUACGGUAUAAGCACCACGCCUACACAAUAUCUAUCAUUUACCCAUGGAUCCGAUGGAUAAACGCUAUACGAUCCUAAGCAUGUAUAUAGAUCGUAUCUAACUAAGCCAAGUACAUAACUAUGAUAAACUAAGAACAAUAUAAUCUUGAAUAUAAGCAAGUAGAGCAAAGUCAUAAGCAAUAUAUUGAAGUAGAACAAAGUCAUAUUCAUAAUAUUGAAGAACAAAGAUAAUUAGAAAGCAAUUAGAAGCACAAUUAGAGAAUUACCAAGAAUCCUCCUGACAGAUCCGGAAACCAAUCGAAGAUUGACUCCUUCUAGUUCUAAUCCUAUGUAGCUAUGCUAAUCUAGAUAUCUAAUUGAUGUGGUGGCUCUAAUCUUGAUCAGAGGCUUCUUCUCCCUUGAUGGAACAAUGAAUUAGGGUUGAGAGGCUCUCUCCUCCAGGGGCCAGGGGGUCUGGUUUUAUAGUCCCUUCAAGUGAAUAUGGGCCCUUGGAUCAAACCGACAUAGAUUGUAUGGUUUAGAUUCAUCCUUUAGGUCGGUGGAGACUUCCCGCAAAGCAGAUUCCUGAUUGGACUUGGACAGGGGGCGGGCGCCCAGGGGAACAGGGCGGGCGCCCUGCCUCUGGCCCCGUUUCGCCUCCGCUUCGGUCUCGUGGCUUCUGGAGUCUUCUAGAUGUAAGAUAAUUGCGCAGCACGUUAAUAUCUCUAUGUAAUCCCGACGUGUGGGCCUUUCUUCCAUAUUUCCUCAUAACCCCCUGCAGAAAUAGACAAACACCAAAACUCGUGGAAUUCUGUCAGAUAAAACCCUAAGUCUAGAUCUUGAUUUCAUUUGGAUCCUUUUCUUUAUUUAUUUGAUAAUUAAAUUUGAUACUUAAGGACCGUCAACAAACUCCCCCAAGCUUACCUCUUGCUCGUCCCUGAGCAAGGAUAGACUCAGCUAUGGAUCAUAAGUAGUUGCAAUAUUUGAAAAAUUUGACGGUACACAUGCUUUUAAAUAAGAUCUCAUCUCUGAGUUAGAGUAAACUGUCAAGACUUAAAACUUACUUACUUUACCUUCACCAUGGGACUUGUAACUGUCACUUCUGUCUUGAGUAGUUAAAAGAUAGAACAGUCUAGCCAAGUGCCAUGUCUCUUAUUCUUGAUCAGCUAUAGCUCUGGGGUUUUUGCAGAUUUUCAAAUAAAACUCAGAGAUUCCUUGUAUGAUUCUCUCAGGUCUCUCUUUUGUGGUAUUUCUGGAUCCUUACCAAGGCAGUGAUGGUAUAUGCCUUCUCUCAAGAUAUGUGGUAUUUGUGGUAUGAAGCAUAGUGACAUUGCCUUUUCUCUCACCCUACUCUAAUAAGGCUUUAAUAUCUGGAGCUCAUAGGUGGGAGAUAAAGUAUACAUACUUACAAGACAUUUAUUGCAUAGUCAAACCAUGGAUCCAAAGUAACAAAUCAAUAAGCCAAAUCAAGAUGUGCAUGUGUGGCGAAUGAAUGGUAUAUGGUGAUGAUGGUGAUAACAAUGGUGAAAACAAUGGUGGUGGAAGUCUAAUUCUUUUGCUCUUUAAGGGGAUACAUACCUUCCUUGCUUUUGAAACUUUAUGAGGAGAAUGAGAUGCUCUUCUUUUUCUUGUCUCUCAGGUGGGUAUCUUGCACCCCUAAUUCUACUGUCGGACACUUGUCCAUUUUUACCUCUCGUCUCACUUUUUCUUUUCUUUCGAGGUUCCGAGCACUUGCUCCUUUUUAUUUCCUCGUAUUUUUUUUCUCUCUCUCUUCUUCUUCUUUUUUUAGAGCACUCAUCUCUUGAGAUAAUAUAGCAAGUGGUAGUAACAAGAUAACUUGAGCAUUUACUUCACAAGGGAAAAAUAGAAAUAUUUUUGGUUAUUCUCUCCCGGAUUAGGAGUAGAAUAUUUUCAGGUGGUUCUGGAGAUGGAAUGGAUGGAUAUAUGUGGAUGGUACUUCCGGAGUAGAAGUAGCAUAUAUGAGUGAACGUGCAAGUGAAAUCUUGAUUUAACCACAUGACAAGCUCCUAAGGGUCUACACAGCUUGACCACACUCAAUGCUCAUAAGCAGUAAAUAAUAAAUGUAUGGCUCAAAGUCUAGCAAGCAUGUAUAUAUGGCUGUGGUAGGAAUUUAAGCUCUCAUCAUACAGGAACUCAUCAUGCAACAUUUUAAAGAUUUUCAAAGAUAAAAUUCUCUAGAAUUCUAGCAUCUCUAGGAACAGAUAAACAGCAGCUCAACCUUCCCAUAUCGUAUCCGUUAACAACUUAGACUUCAGAUCAAGUUUUCAUCCCACAAGUUUAGGUCUAGAGCAAGCUUUAAAUUAUAACAGUUAUGUCUAAACUUGAGAGAGAACUUAAAAUGUACAAAUUAGGCAAAGCAACUAUUCAUCAUAUCCAUGCUUAAGUUUUAUUUAGAUACAGAUUAACAUAGCCACUUUAUUUAUUUAUUAAACACACUAAGCAAAAGAUAUAUAUAUAAGCUUAAAAUAUUUAUUUGGUUUUCCCAUAGUUUAUGUGUAUUAAUAUUCUAAAAUAAUAUAAGUAUAAAGAUAGAUAGAAAUACUUAUCGAGAUAAAUGGGGGUGCUCUCCCCCAAGCUGAAUUUUGACGUAAUUUCUCUUGAUGUAGCUAGCAGGCGGCAGAGGUGUAGUUGAAAGUCAGCAGCAUUCUGACAGCGAUUAGAAUGUCCUCCUUCUGCUAGUCUUCUUAAAUUCUGUGGAGCUCAAAUAGACAACAAAGCUUGUGGAACUAAUUAAGCGUUAGCAUAAAUAUAUAGCCUUCAUCAUCUUGAGACUCCUUAAUAAUUAUUACUCCCUGUUUUUAUAUUUUUAUUUUAUAAAGCAGAAAAAUAUUUAUUUUAUUUUUAUGCCACCACAGUGAAUGUACGUAUGGGUUUUAUGCCACUCGUCUACUCACAUGGGGCUUACUAUUUUCACAUUUUUAUUUUCUCUUUUUAAGAUAGUAUGAAUAUGAUUAACUAAGUAAAAUAAUUGAAAUAACUGAAAGGUAAAGGAUAACUACCAAGUUUACCUCUUGGCAAGGCGUUCGGUGUUUUUAAGUCCUCCGAACGGGACUCUCCAAUUUCUUAAUUGUCCUGAGGUUCGUUGGGUGGCGUAGUCGGUACUUCCGGCAGCGUCUCCUCUUCUUGUAUAGUUAUCUUCAUUUUCCAUACCUGACUCGGUGCUUCAAUCUCCUCUGGAUAAUUCUGUUUAAACUCUACAUCUUCUGACCUUACAACUUCUUCUUCAUAGUCUGCCCAUCCGUCCUUGAUGAUCUGCCUUCUCUGGUUGCGGUUGCGUCUCUUUCUGACCUGCUUAGAUUCUUCAACGAUAUAGUUAGAGUCAGUAAAAUAACGGCGUACCUUCUCUGAGGGGAAGUGCAUAUGGACUUCUCCGGUUCCAAUGUAGAUAAUCGCUUUAACGGUGCUGAGGAAUGGUCUUCCAAGGAUGACGGGUGGAUCAUACUCGUCUUCUCCCAUGUCAACAACUUGAAAGUCUGUGUAGACAAAGUGAUCGUCUAUUUUGACUGGGACAUCAGAUACUAUUCCUUGAACUUCUCGGAAUGUCUGAUCUGCCAUCUGGAGCUGAAUGUAU
rnacentral:lncRNA from 1 species